GAUGAACGCUAGCGGCAGGCCUAAUACAUGCAAGCCGAACGGUAAGAUUUGUAGCAAUACGAGUCCUAGAGUGGCGUAAGGGUGCGUAACACGUAUGCAAUCUGCCCCGCAACUGGAGGAUAGCUCGGGGAAACCCGGAUUAACCCUCCAUAAGAUCACACAAUGGCAUCAAAGAGUGAUUAAAUCUCCGGAGGUUGCGGAUGAGCAUGCGGUUGAUUAGCUAGUUGGUAGUGUAACGGACUACCAAGGCAAUGAUCAAUAGGGGAACUGAGAGGUUGAACCCCCANACUGGCACUGAGAUACGGGCCAGACUCC
rnacentral:rRNA from 1 species